AUUGAACGCUGGCGGCAGGCCUAACACAUGCAAGUCGAACGAGUGGCGGACGGGUGAGUAAUGUCUGGGAAACUGCCUGAUGGAGGGGGAUAACUCCUGGAAACGGUAGCUAAUACCGCAUACCAUCAGAUGUGCCCAGAUGGGAUUAGCUUGUUGGUGGGGUAACGGCUCACCAAGGCGACGAUCCCUAGCUGGUCUGAGAGGAUGACCGGCCACACGGGACCUGAGACACGGUCCAUACUCCUACGGAAGGAGUCAGUGGGAAAUAUUGCAAAAUGGGCGAAAGCCUGAUGCAGCCAUGCCGCGUGGAUAAAGAAGGCCUUCGGGUGGUAAAGUACUUUCAGCGGGGAGGCGGUACCCGCAUAAGAAGCAACGGCUAACUCCGUGCCAGCAGCCGCGGUAAUUC
rnacentral:rRNA from 1 species